UCUCUUUGUUGAAGCCCUUUCCACACAGAUCACCUGUGUGAAUUAUCCUGUGUCUCAUCAGGGAUGCAAUUUUACGAACCCUGUUACACAGUCCAUGAAUUUAUAUGGUUAUUCUCUCCUGUGUGGAUCCUUUUAUGAGUAGUAAGUUUACUGUGUGUUCGGAAGCCAUUUCUAUACUCCAUGCAUUUGUAUGGUUUCUCCCGUGUAGAUUGUUUUGUUUCACAAGAGAUGCAUUAUCUCGAAAGCUUUUUCCACACUCUGUGCAUUUAUGUGGAUUCUCCCAUGUGGAUCCUUCUAUGGUAAGUAAGAUGACUGGAUUUCCUGAAGUUCUUUCCACAUUCCAUGCAUUCAUAUGGUUUCUCCCCCGUGUGGAUCCUUUUAUGGGAAGUAAGAUUACUGGAUUUGUUGAAGCUCUUUCCACACUCCAUGCAUUUAUAUGGUUUCUCCCCCGUGUGGAUCCUUUGAUGGGGAGUAAGGUCACUGCUGUGACUAAAAGUCUUGCCACACUGUGUACAUUUAAAUGGUUUCUCCCCUGUGUGGAUACUUUUAUGGGAAGUAAGUUGAUAGCUAUGUCUAAAAGACCUUCCACACUCCAUGCAUUUAUAUGGUUUCUCUCCUGUGUGGAUCCUUUUGUGGGAUGUAAGACUACUGAGUUGGCUGAAGCUCUUUCCACAUUCCAUGCAUUCAUAUGGUUUCCCCCCUGUAUGGAUCCUUUGAUGGGAAGUAAGGGUACUGCUGUGACUAAAAGCCUUGCCACACUGUGUACAUUUAUAUGGUUUCUCUCCCGUGUGGAUUCUUUGAUGGGAAGUAAGGUUACCACUGUCACUAAAAGUCUUGCCACACUGUGUACAUUUAUAUGGUUUCUCCCCAGUGUGGAUCCUUCUGUGGCAAGUAAGUUGAUGGCUAUGACUAAAAGACCUUCCACACUCCAUGCAUUUAUAUGGUUUCUCUCCUGUAUGGAUCCUUUUAUGGGAUGUAAGAUUACCAAUUUCACUGAAGCCUUUUCCACAUUCCAUACAUUUAUAUGGUUUA
rnacentral:lncRNA from 1 species